UUUUUUCCUCCCCUCAUCUCAGCAGAAGUGGGGGAAUGACGGCAUCAAUACAAAGAACAUUUGAAACAGUGAAAGAAGAGGUUGCAUCAGUUCGCAGUGCGGAUGCGGUCGGAGAGACAAAAUGGCUUUCUAUGACACCUGGGGAUGCUUUUGAAGGAUGCGGCCGCCCUGGAAUACCGAGCUGGGAGUCGAGCAGCAAACAGCCAUCUCCUCCCAUGUUCAGGGGUGACGGUGAAGGAGCUGUGGGACCGGAUACUGGACGGUGGCUUGUUGUGCCACGGGGCUUUGUGCCAGAGCAGGAUCGUUCACGAUCUGUGGAGCGAGCUCGGAUCACAUUCCUGCCAGUGUCGUCCGAGAGAUGUGCAACGUCUGCAAAACCAGCAAUUGGGCUACGGUUUCAAGAACAAUGGGACAAGAACUGGGCCGACGCGACUGUAUCCUCAUUCAUCCUCAUCCCGUUCAUGGUGAUUUACUGGAGCUGAGUUGAGGUCAUUUAACCACUAGUUCAUCCAAGUGUCUCAUAGGUAAAAUGGAGACAAUGCUGUUGAUUGGUGAGCCUACACUAGCACUUUGCCCCCAGCUUGUAUGACAUCAAUUUUCCCAUCUACCUCUGGGUAAGUCCAUUCAUCCAUUAUCAACACCUCUUUUUCUUUUGAGGGUGGCACGGGGGCUGGCCAUGGGUGAAAAUGUGAGGUAUAUCGUGGACAGGUCGCCAGUCUAUCUCAACCAAACAGCCGCUCACAUUCACCUGUGGAGGUGAGUUUAAAUAAGUACUCCCAAAAGAAAGCCACCUUUCGCACUGACCACUGCACCACCAAGACACACAAAGGCUAAAAAACAAAUCCACCUACUUACUAAUAAUGCAAGAUGUAACCCGCUACAUGAGCCAGAGGAUGUACCACAAAACAAAAUUUGUCUUUACUAAAAUUCUUUCCAUCCUGCCUGUCUGCUGCAUUUGACCUGACACAUGCUGGUCAGCCUGUGCUCGGCAAGUGCACACUGCAGUUAGUCCAUUCGAUUCAGAUGAGUCGGUGUCAGCCCAUCGGGAUCCAUUACCAUGAAUGUCAGUUCCCAUUGAGCCUUUGAAAUUGCUUCAAUGUAUCAAAUUCAGUUCAGAAUUGUAACUGACAAACGUGAUCGAGAAGAUAUCUGUCCUCCUCAACCACUCCGUGGAAUGAUUCAAAGAAUAAUCAAUGACAACUGAAUAUUAUAUGACAUUGAAUGUUUAAUAUGGUCUAUGACUGUUACACAUAUGUAGCGUGACAGGACCAGAAGAGGUUAUUUUUUAUUUGAACCUCCAUGUCUGAAUUCAAAUUAUGGCAAAUGUU